AGAGAUGUAGAGCUUUUGGGUCU
rnacentral:snRNA from 1 species